GACGAACGCUGGCGGCGUGCCUAAUACAUGCAAGUCGAACGGUCUUUUCUAUGGAAGCUUGCUUCCACUGAGAAGAUAGUGGCGAACGGGUGAGUAACACGUGGGUAACCUGCCCAUAAGAGGGGGAUAACAUCCGGAAACGGGUGCUAAUACCGCAUAGUUUUCUUGAUCGCAUGAUUGAGAAAGGAAAGACGGCCUUUGUGCUGUCGCUUAUGGAUGGACCCGCGGCGUAUUAGUUAGUUGGUGAGGUAACGGCUCACCAAGACGAUGAUACGUAGCCGACCUGAGAGGGUGAUCGACCACAUUGGGACUGAGACACGGCCCAAACUCCUACGGGAGGCAGCAGUAGGGAAUCUUCCGCAAUGGACGAAAGUCUGACGGAGCAACGCCGCGUGAGUGAAGAAGGUUUUCGGAUCGUAAAACUCUGUUGUCAGAGAAGAACAAGUCGGAGAGUAACUGCUCCGGCCUUGACGGUAUCUGACCAGAAAGCCACGGCUAACUACGUGCCAGCCGCCGCCGUAACAC
rnacentral:rRNA from 1 species